AAACCAGCACCUCAAGUGGUCAGGAUGAUUAUUGAGCCUAAAGCAUCCGUAGCCGGCUCUGUAAGUUUUCGGUUAAAUCUAUACGCUUAACGUACAGGCUGCUGGGAAUACUGCAGAGCUAGGGAGUGGGAGAGGUAGACGGUACUCGGGAGGAAGUGGUAAAAUGCUUUGAUCUCUCGAUGACCACCUGUGGCGAAGGCGGUCUACCAGAACACGUCCGACGGUGAGGGAUGAAAGCUGGGGGAGCAAACCGGAUUAGAAACCCGAGUAGUCC
rnacentral:rRNA from 1 species